UAAUACGUAGAAGGCAAGCGUUAUCCGGAUUUAUUGGGCGUAGAGCGGGUGUAGGUGGCUCUUCAAGUCGGAUGUAAAAUCUCCCGGCUUAACCGGGAGGGACCAUUCGAUACUGCUGGGCUAGAGUGCAGUAGAGGGAGGUGGAAUUCCCGGUGUAGUGGUGAAAUGCGUAGAUAUCGGGAGGAACACCAGUGGCGAAGGCGGCCUCCUGGGCUGCUACUGACGCUGAGACCCAAAAGCGUGGGGAGCGAACAGGAUUAGAUACCCUGGUAGUCCACGCCGUAAACGAUGGACACUAGGUAUGGAGAGUAUCGACCCUUUCCGUGCCGAAGCUAACGCAUUAAGUGUCCCGCCUGGGGAGUACGGUCGCAAGACUA
rnacentral:rRNA from 1 species